rnacentral:rRNA from 1 species
GGCCAGCAGCCGCGGUAAUACGGAGGGUGCAAGCGUUGCUCGGAAUCACUGGGCGUAAAGCGAACGCAGGCGGAUCGUUAAGUUAGGCGUGAAAGCCCCGGGCUCAACCUGGGAACUGCGCUUAAGACUGGAGAGCUAGAAAACGGAAGAGGGUAGUGGAAUUCCCAGUGUAGAGGUGAAAUUCGUAGAUAUUGGGAAGAACACCAGUGGCGAAAGCGGCUACCUGGUCCGGAUUUGACGCUGAGGCGCGAAAGCGUGGGUAGCGAACAGGAUUAGAUA